AAAUUUGUUUUUAGGUCUACCAACUUUGUAGGCAUUGGUGGAGAUGAUUUGGGAAACUGUAUCUCUGUCAAUGCAGAGAAUCGGUUAGGAGUUUCUGUCUUGAUGGGCGGCCUCUGUGGUACUGUGGGCCGUAAAGGAUUUGAGAUUGGAUUUGGAGAAUCGAAUGGUCUAGCCAUCCUUUGUUGUUCCGUCUUGGGGCUGUCGCCCGGCAAUGUUGGUCUCAUGGCCCUGUAGGAAUUCUCUUGUUAGAAAAUCGGGGAGGGAGUUAUUUUCUCCUUUAAUAAAUUCGAUUUGAAAAUCAAAGCUAGAUAGGAGAGCUUGCCAUCUAGCAAAUAUCUGUUUUGAAACUAGAUUUUUU
rnacentral:lncRNA from 1 species